GCCUGUGUGGCUCAGUCGGUUGGGCGUCUGACUUCGGCUCAGGUCAUGAUCUAGCGGUUCGUGAGUUCGAGCCCCGCGUCGGGCU
rfam:Felis catus isolate Cinnamon breed Abyssinian chromosome B1, whole genome shotgun sequence.